AGAGUUUGAUUCUGGCUCAGAACGAACGCUGGCGGCGUGUUUAAGACAUGCAAGUCGCACGGGAUUUUUCCAAGUAGCAAUACGCGGGAAAGUUUAGUGGCGCACGGGUGAGUAACAUGUGAAUUACAUGCCCUAUAGUGGGGAAUAGCCCAGGGAAACUUGGAUUAAUACCCCAUAGUCUCGCAAGAGUAAAGGUGGCCAGCAGCGAUGUUGGCUGUCGCUAUAGGAUUGGUUCGCACCCUAUCAGCUUGUUGGCGGGGUAACGGCCCACCAAGGCUACGACGGGUACCUGGUCUGAGAGGACGAUCAGGCACACUGGAACUGAGACACGGUCCAGACACCUACGGGUGGCAGCAGUCGAGAAUAAUUCACAAUGGGGGCAACCCUGAUGGUGCAACGCCGCGUGGAGGAUGACGGUCUUCGGAUUGUAAACUCCUGUCAUCCGGGAGUAAGACCUGGUCGUUAAUAGCGAACAGGGUUGAUAGUACCGGAAGAGGAAGGGACGGCUAACUUCGUGCCAGCAGCCGCGGUAAUACGAAGGUCCCGAGCGUUGUUCGGAAUCACUGGGCGUAAAGGGAGCGUAGGCGGCGCGGUAAGUCAGAUGUGAAAUCCCGGGGCUCAACCCCGGAACUGCAUCCGAUACUGCCGUGCUAGAGGAUUGGAGAGGUAGCUGGAAUUCUUGGUGUAGCAGUGAAAUGCGUAGAGAUCAAGAGGAACACUCGUGGCGAAAGCGAGCUACUGGACAAUAUCUGACGCUGAGGCUCGAAGGCCAGGGUAGCGAAAGGGAUUAGAUACCCCUGUAGUCCUGGCAGUAAACGGUGCACGCUUGGUGUGAGGGGAAUCGACCCCCCUUGUGCCGGAGCUAACGCGUUAAGCGUGCCGCCUGGGAAGUACGGUCGCAAGACUAAAACUCAAAGAAAUUGACGGGGACCCGCACAAGCGGUGGAGUAUGUGGCUUAAUUCGAUGCAACGCGAAGAACCUUACCAAGGCUUGACAUGGAUUUCUAAGCGCGUGAAAGCGCGUGACCCUUCGGGGGACUUCCACAGGUGCUGCAUGGCCGUCGUCAGCUCGUGUCGUGAGAUGUUGGGUUAAGUCCCGCAACGAGCGCAACCCU
rnacentral:rRNA from 1 species